rnacentral:lncRNA from 1 species
AUUAUUUUAGUUGUAAAUGAAAUAUUUCAUACAAAAUUUUAUUUUAUAUACAUAAUCUGACUAAAAUAUUUUUUUAAUUUUUUCAUGUUUUUUUAUUUACAGGUAUCAUUGGUAAAUAGUUAUUUUCUAUGGAACAUUGAUAGAAAGGAAAAACAGUUAUCAGAGCAAAAACAUCUGACUUACAGAAAAAGGAUAAUUACACAGCUUUUAGGAGAUGUACAGAAUUUAGGAAGAGAAAAAAGGGGACAAACGUCAUCCUCAGAUAAUGAAGAAAGACUCAGAGGAAAGCAUUUUAUGGGAAAAUUGGGAA